rnacentral:rRNA from 1 species
GAUGAACGCUAGCGGCAGGCCUACCACAUGCAAGUCGAGGGGUAACUAGAGUGAUAGCAAUAUUACUUUGGCUAGGCCGGCGCACGGGUGCGUAACACGUAUGCAACCUACCUUAUACUGGGGAAUAACUUCGAGAAAUCGGCGCUAAUACCCCAUAACAUUGCGAAGAGGCAUCUCUUUGCAAUUAAAGCUCCGGCGGUAUAAGAUGGGCAUGCGUCCAAUUAGCUAGUUGGUGAGGUAACGGCUCACCAAGGCUACGAUUGGUAGGGGUUCUGAGAGGAUGAUCCCCCACACUGGUACUGAGACACGGACCAGACUCCUACGGGAGGCAGCAGUGAGGAAUAUUGCGCAAUGGACGAAAGUCUGACGCAGCCAUGCCGCGUGCAGGAUGACGGCCCUAUGGGUUGUAAACUGCUUUUGUACGGGAAUAAACCCUUCUACGUGUAGGAGGCUGAAGGUACCGUAAGAAUAAGCACCGGCUAACUCCGUGCCAGCCGCCGCAGUAAGAC